AAAUUGAAGAGUUUGAUCAUGGCUCAGAUUGAACGCUGGCGGCAGGCCUAACACAUGCAAGUCGAACGGUAACAGGAAGCAGCUUGCUGCUUCGCUGACGAGUGGCGGACGGGUGAGUAAUGUCUGGGAAACUGCCUGAUGGAGAGGGAUAACUACUGGAAACGGUGGCUAAUACCGCAUAACGUCGCAAGACCAAAGAGGGGGACCUUCGGGCCUCUUGCCAUCAGAUGUGCCCAGAU
rnacentral:rRNA from 2 species